GCACUGCUGAGGAGUCCUAAAAUAGGACGAAACAGUCGUCCAGUGC
rnacentral:hammerhead_ribozyme from 1 species